GAGGGUAUAGCUCAGUGGUAGAGCAUGUGCUUAGCAUGCACAAGGUCCUGGGUUCAAUCCCCAGUUCAAUCC
rnacentral:tRNA from 1 species